UGGGGGAUAUUGCACAAUGGGCGAAAGCCUGAUGCAGCGACGCCGCGUGGGGGAUGAAGGCUUUCGGGUUGUAAACCUCUUUCGCUAUCGAACAAGGCCCGCUUAGGGUGGGUUGAGGGUGGGUGGGGAAGAAGCGCCGGCUAACUACGGGCCAGCAGCCGCGGUAAUACGUAGGGCGCGAGCGUUGUCCGGAAUUAUUGGUCGUAAAGGGCUUGUAGGCGGCUUGUUGCGCCUGCUGUGAAAACGCGGGGCUUAACUUCGCGCGUGCAGUGGGUACAGGCAAGCUUGAGUGUGUUAGGGGUGACUGGAAUUCCAGGUGUAGCGGUGGAAUGCGCAGAUAUCUGGAGGAACACCGAUGGCGAAGGCAGGUCACUGGGCCAUUACUGACGCUGAGGAGCGAAAGCAUGGGUAGCGAACAGG
rnacentral:rRNA from 1 species